GGUCUGUCUCUCCUCUCCCCCUGACAGCAAUACUGGCCCUUAUGAGACUCAGCAGCUGCAGUGAUGGUCAAGGUGUUUCCCUCAGACACUGGGGUUCUGCUGG